rnacentral:rRNA from 1 species
CCUACGGGAGGCUGCAGUGGGGAAUAUUGGACAAUGGGGGGAACCCUGAUCCAGCCAUGCCGCGUGUGUGAAGAAGGCCCUCGGGUUUUAAAGCACUUUCAGUGAGGAAGAACGCCUGGUGGUUAAUACCCAUCAGGAAAGACAUCACUCACAGAAGAAGCACCGGCUAACUCCGUGCCAGCAGCCGCGGUAAUACGGAGGGUGCGAGCGUUAAUCGGAAUUACUGGGCGUAAAGCGCGCGUAGGUGGCUUGAUAAGCCGGUUGUGAAAGCCCCGGGCUCAACCUGGGAACGGCAUCCGGAACUGUCAAGCUAGAGUGCAGGAGAGGAAGGUAGAAUUCCCGGUGUAGCGGUGAAAUGCGUAGAGAUCGGGAGGAAUACCAGUGGCGAAGGCGGCCUUCUGGACUGACACUGACACUGAGGUGCGAAAGCGUGGGUAGCAAACAGGAUUAGAUACCCGGGUAGUC